AGGACUGUAGUCAACAAUGAUAUCUGGGUUGCAUUCAGAAGGUGUUAUUUUAUAUAACUUGUCUUA
rnacentral:tRNA from 1 species